rnacentral:misc_RNA from 1 species
GCUUAAUGUUCAUUUUGGACUGGCUAUGCACACGGAAGGUUAUUAUAGAUCAAGUUUUGGAUAGAGGCUGGGCAUGAAUGGCCGACCGUUCCCGUUCGAAUCUGAAUUGCCAUGUAAUGGUACCUGAAGCUCCCCCGAGUACGAUGACUUUCGUGGCUUUGGAUUCUUGGGAGAAGGGGAGAAUGAAUCAUUCGAACUGCUGGUAGAAUACAUGGACGAUG